AGUAACACGUGGGCAACCUGCCCUGAAGCGGGGGAUAACAUCUGGAAACAGGUGCUAAUACCGCAUAACAACGAAAACCACAUGGUUUUCGUUUCAAAGAUGGUUUCGGCUAUCACUUCAGGAUGGGCCCGCGGUGCAUUAGCUAGUUGGUAAGGUAACGGCUUACCAAGGCGAUGAUGCAUAGCCGAGUUGAGAGACUGAUCGGCCACAAUGGAACUGAGACACGGUCCAUACUCCUACGGGAGGCAGCAGUG
rnacentral:rRNA from 1 species